CCCGGUGCCGGAGUGAAGAUGUUAAGUUCACUGCCUGGGGAGUACGGUCGCAAGGCUGAAACUUAAAGGAAUUGGCGGGGGAGCACUGCAACGGGAGGAGCGUGCGGUUUAAUUGGAUUCAACGCCGGAAAACUCACCAGGGCCGACUGUUAGAUGAAGACCAGCGUGAUGAGCUUGUCGGAUUUUCAGAGAGGUGGUGCAUGGCCGUCGUCAGUUCGUACUGUAAAGCGUUCUGUUAAGUCAGAUAACGAACGAGACCCUCAUCUCUAUUUGCUACCUGUCUCUCCGGAGACAGCGCACUAUAGGGAGACCGCUGGUGUUAAACCAGAGGAAGGCGAGGGCAACGACAGGUCAGUAUGCCCCGAAUGUCCUGGGCUACACGCGCGCUACAAAGGACGGGACAAUGGGAAGCUAGGCCGAGAGGCCACGCUAACCCGAAACCCGUUCAUAGUUCGGAUUGAGGGCUGUAACUCGCCCUCAUGAAGCUGGAUUCCGUAGUAAUCGUGUUUCAAUAU
rnacentral:rRNA from 1 species